rnacentral:lncRNA from 1 species
ACACUCAGAACGAAUUCCAAAUAACGUAACUUAAAAAAAAAAAGUAUAUCCAUCAAAACUUACGGAAACAAUGGUAACACACAGCAGUCACUUAGGGUAGCUUAUAUACACACCUAUUCCUCACAGUGCUGUCUUUGCUGAAACCUGUUGGGAACUCUUUCAGAGCCAGUAUAGGAAUUAUAUGAUUAUUUGUUUGUUUUUACUUCAUAAGCCAUAUGUGUUUCAGCUGUCUUUGGUGAAAUCUGUUGGGAACUGUUUUCAGGGCCAGUAUUAGGAAUUAUAUGAAUAUUUGUUUGUUUUUACUUCAUAAGCCAUAUUGUGUUUCACCAAAAGCUUCACAGUGUAAAAAGGUCAAAAUGAACAUAGA